GGCAGCUGCUGACACCGGAGGUGGGGGGUAGGGGGCCGUCCAACAGCACCCGGCACCUCGGCACCCCCUCCCCCACAAACUGCAGUUUCCCACUUCUCCAAUUAUUUUUAGCCCCGAGUACUAAGCGAUCGUCCUACGCGGUUACUUCCUUCCUGCCCCGGCUAGCCUCGUCCCCUUUCCCCAGCCCCUGGCGGCACAGCACGCCUCACAGCUGGGGGCACCCGGCGGGGAUUCCCCGCCUGCACUGACACCUCACCCGCCGCGGGGGUCAAACCUCUCCUCAAAAAAACUUCUCCCACACAAGACACCCCCCACCCUUCCCCAGCCCCCUAGAAGCAUCCACCACCGCCCCCCGACAGGACAGGCUCCGCUCCCAGACGCCACCCUCACACAGACCUCCAUUCCCGCUCGCGUCCGUCCCGAGCCAAGUCCGGAGAGAAACUUGGCAUCAUUCAAAGCAUUGCAUGAUUUCCCAAAAGCAAUCCAGCCUAGUCUUUUGCUUCUAAUCAAUUCUGGGUCCAGCUCUAGAAGUUAUGUAAUUGCAUAUCAGAGCCUAGAUACAAGCACUCUUUAUCCACAUGAUUGUUCCUGUGUGGAUAGCUAAGCUGAACAAUUUUGAGUGGUGAUGGAUCUCUUGUAGAAGAAGGUUCUGCAGUGUUCCAGAGCUUGGUUCUGUUAGUACAAUGACAUUCACAAGCAGGACCACUUAAGGAACCUCACCAUCUAUAGGCUUAAAGACGUCAAAGACAAAAAGAAAUGUCCCAUAUAUGGCAAAAUAUUUCUGGUUAACGCUCUUUGUAGCGGCAAAGAACUAGAAACAAAAUAAAUGCCCAUUGAAUGAAGAAUGACUAAACAAAUUGUGGUAU